ACAAAAGAGGGUCCAGUCUCAGAUGAGAGAUCUACACUAAUAUAAAUAAAUUAAUGUUUCCAUUUACCACGAUGCUUGAUACCUACUUAAUAAGGGGCUGCUCGCUCUAUUCUUUUUCCCAUGGUAUUAAACUUAUUAAGAAAUUUCCCCCUGAUAAUAAAGUUAUUACUAAAAGGUAAACUCAAGAAGGUAACAGGGAAGAGUAGAUGACAAAGAUUUAUCAUUAAUAGUUUCCCUCACUUUUGGAAUAGUCUCUAACAGAUCCCCCACCAUUGGAAUGGCAUGCAGCUUAGAGGCAGUAAUUGUCAUACUCUGAGUCCCUUAUGCUUGGAAUACCUAAGCAAGACUGUAAGAAAGGGAAUGACUCAGUUGCCCCAUUUCUUUUCCUUGUCUUCAUAAUGCAUAUGUAAGAGUACAUUUAAAAAACUGGCAGGAAAGUGUAGAUCUUAGUUCUUCAUGAAAUGCUACCAGGCAGGUUGGCAAUAUUUCAUCACUAAUCUCUCCUCUAGUAACUAACCCACCCACAAAGCAGACAUACUUGUUGGCAUAUUGCAAUGACAAGUCCUCUUGGAGUAGGGAAAUAUGGGUGGACAGUUUGCACUAAGAAAGGGGCAGUAGACUAGCAACUUUCUCUAUUUCAACAUAUGACCAUGGUAACAAUACCUUCCAAAUCUCCUCCUCCUGGUUUAUCUUCGCCACCUCCUUCCUUGCUUUCCACCUAGUUCUGUAUCAGAUUUACUUAUAUUCCUUGUAAAAUUUAAAACAAAAUGGAGCCCUGCCAUGAUCAGUUUGUACUAACUGUAAAUAAGAUCUGUUAAAAAACAACAACCCAAAAAAGCAGAAGUGCUGAAUUUAGUGGGUGGACAAAGGCCAUUAAAAAAAGUGUGUGUAGUGCUAUGAUAUUCAGUCAAAGUUGUUUAAUAGACCAACACAAUUUUAACUUUAUACACUACUCUUUCAAAAUGAUGAUAGGCUGUGAGAGCAAUAAACCAUUUCAGUGGAAUAACAGUAAGAUCUCAUUAAUUCAAGAAGUCACGACUCCUCUCUCGUUUAAAUACUGAUUCUGUAAGAUUAAUGUAAAACACAGUACAAUUUUCCUUUUAUUAAAGAAUGGAAGUGGCUGUUUUUAGUUACAUAUCCAAAUCUUGAUUUGAUUGUACAGAGAAAAAUCUGUAAAACUUGUAUCUUACAGAAUGAUUAAACCUGUUUUAUCACAGCAACUUUUAGGAAAUUGCAAAAAAGUCAAAGGAAUACAAAAUGUUAGAUUAUUUUGUUAUAUAAAACUUCCAUUUUUGACGAUUUACUGCAAAAAAUAGGUGUGCACUUGCUGCUUGCAUUGUGGGUAAUUUUGAUUAUCAACUGCUGUUCCAGAACUUCCUUUUAAACAAAAAUUUGACAGAUAGUAAUUUAAACAAACAAAAGUCAGAUGCCUUUAUUCCCCAUGAUAAAUUUACACCUGAUGGCUCCAGUCUACAAUCUAAUCUGUGCUGAUGGAUUCCUUGCAUCUGUGUGGAGCCCCACUGAUUUCACUGUACAGAGACAUAACUGUCCCAGUGGCACUGGAACACUUUUUAUAGUAGGGGUGCUGAAAGCCAGCUAAUUAAACUCUGUAAACCAUGUAUGUUCAAAAGCAAGAUGAAAAAAGCACAAUUCCCACUCACACCACACGGGUGCAGCAUAGCUCUGGGAUUCUCAAGAACCGUGAAAUACUGUUAUCUUACAGCACCAGACAACUUUUCACAGUGAAACCUGGGGGUGCAAUAGCACCUGCCAGCCCCAUAGUUCCCAUGGCUAUGAACUGUCCACCCAUCCAGACCAGCUUGCAGAAUUGUAACUUUAAUAACCAGUUAAUCUUUGAUCACUGGAGUGGGAAAGUUACAUAAAUCGCUUCCAAGCGAGCAAGAUCCCAACCUAUUUAAUCGUAAGGGAAUUUUUACAAAAAAAAGAAAGGAUUAAUUAAAAAACAGCGAGCUUUGCAUAUAGUAACAAUGUAUUCCAUAUUGUCACAGCUCAGGACAACUGCAACUGUACUUCCCCUCAGUCCUUCAGCAAGGGCACCCACUUUUGGCUUCCAGCUACCCAGCUGUUGCCUUUCUUGGGUGGAGUCACGUCCCUCUCUUUUCUGACAGGGGUAUUUCCAGGCUUCCGUUUUCUGCCUUCACUAUGUAUUUCCCAGCACAGACAGAUUGCCAAAGGGCACCUGCUUGCUUUCUCUUCAGAGACUGAUAAUGGAGUGAUUGUCAACAGUUACCAUGCAGCACUUCCUACACAAGCCUACUUUAUUCUUAAGGCACUCAAACCUAUCCCUUGUCACAGAUUUUCCCCCUUUAUAGCUGCAAGAGGAACAUGGCAUAAACAGAGUAAUGUACAGAAACAAACAAGUUCCGAAUGUGGCCAUCUUUCUAGAUUGUGUCAAUUCUUAGCUAAUUUUUAAACAAUUUUAUUUUGUAAGAUAUCCUAGUUAACAAAAGUAAAGAACAAGACGUGUAUCCAGUUGUUUGUAUGCAUUUUAGUCCCGUACUCACAUCUUUAAUUUAAAAAUUAAUCUUACAUGUAUUUGCUUUUGAAGACUUGCAUUUUCUAAAUUAUAAACAUUCAGUAUUUUAAAAUCACAAAUGUUCUAGUCACUGGGUGAAGCUGAUCACUUGCUCAUAAUGUUAUACAUUUACUAUCAAACACUGCAUCAAGGAAAUAAUUAAAUUCCAUUUUAAACAUUUCAAUUAAAAGAAAAGUACUAUGGCAGAGUUUCAGUACAUUUGGAUCUUGAAAUAAAUUUAAUUAGUACAAAUGUGUGUGUUUCAGUUUUUCCUGGACUUUUUAUCCAGUUUACAGAUAGACAUAUCUGGUCCCAUUUACAAUCCUCAUUUGCAAGAUUAUUUUUUCAAGAGUGUGUUUGUACAAGCAAAAUUUUAUUUGCUCCAUAUACUUUAUAUGUAAAGUAGAAAUUUCAACAUUUAAACUUAAGUAAAAUGCUCUGCUUGAAAGGUGAGAGACACAUAUCCAAUACUAUUACACUGAACUGAAAAAAACAAGAUUUGUAAUUCCCAAUCAAAAUAAUGGUAAAAAAAAUUGCUUCAACUGUAGCUUCCUCGCCCAAUCUAUUACUUUUAAAGCAUACUGCCAAAAUAUUUAAUGGAUAACUACUUGUAAACUAUGGAUGUGUUACUAGUUUACUAAAUUAAAUUCAGGUCUUAUAUGAGAAUACAAAUUCUGUUAAUUCUUUAAACAUGCUCAGAAUCCUAAAUAUUUUACUUUCAUCCAAUUAAAAAAA